rnacentral:rRNA from 1 species
GAUGAACGCUGGCGGCGUGCCUAAUACAUGCAAGUCGAGCGAACAGACGAGGAGCUUGCUCCUCUGACGUUAGUGGCGGACGGGUGAGUAACACGUGGAUAACCUACCUAUAAGACUGGGAUAACUUCGGGAAACCGGAGCUAAUACCGGAUAAUAUAUUGAACCGCAUGGUUCAAUAGUGAAAGACGGUUUUGCUGUCACUUAUAGAUGGAUCCGCGCCGCAUUAGCUAGUUGGUAAGGUAACAGCUUACCAAGGCAACGAUGCGUAGCCGACCUGAGAGGGUGAUCGGCCACACUGGAACUGAGACACGGUCCAGACUCCUACGGGAGGCAGCAGUAGGGAAUCUUCCGCAAUGGGCGAAAGCCUGACGGAGCAACGCCGCGUGAGUGAUGAAGGUCUUCGGAUCGUAAAACUCUGUUAUUAGGGAAGAACAAAUGUGUAAGUAACUAUGCACGUCUUGACGGUACCUAAUCAGAAAGCCACGGCUAACUACGUG